rnacentral:lncRNA from 1 species
AUGGGUGUAAUCUAAAAAUCUAUGAUGAUCUUGAUUUGGGUGUAAUCUAUGAUGAUCCUGAUGAGGUUCUUGGCUGUGAUCUAUGAUGAUCCUGAUGAGGUUCUUGACUGUGAUCUAUGAUGAUCCUGAUGAGGUUCUUGACUGUGAUCUAUGAUGAUCUUGAUGAUUCUUGGCUGUAAUCUAUGAUGAUCUUGAUGAGGUUCUUGGCUGUAAUCUAUGAUAAUCCUGAUAAGGUUCUUGGCUGUAAUCUAUGAUGAUCUAUGUAUAUAUAUAGAAUGAGGUUACUCUAUAUACAGCCAAAUGCGCUUAAAGAAGAAGCGCCACCUUAUACUAGUUCUAUAUAUAUACACACAAAAAUAGAUACAAAUAAUAGACAUUAUAAUUGAAGAAUCAAGUUAAAGGCAAUACUUUUUGUUGAUUUUGGAAGAAAAAGGAAUUAUAGCCAGAUCAUUUCUAAAUUUUAUGGGUGUGUGCACAUUAAUUAGG